UGGGCGUAAAGCGCACGCAGGCGGUCUGUCAAGUCGGAUGUGAAAUCCCCGGGCUCAACCUGGGAACUGCAUUCGAAACUGGCAGGCUAGAGUCUUGUAGAGGGGGGUAGAAUUCCAGGUGUAGCGGUGAAAUGCGUAGAGAUCUGGAGGAAUACCGGUGGCGAAGGCGGCCCCCUGGACAAAGACUGACGCUCAGGUGCGAAAGCGUGGGGAGCAAACAGGAUUAGAUACCCUGGUAGUCCACGCCGUAAACGAUGUCGACUUGGAGGUUGUGCCCUUGAGGCGUGGCUUCCGGAGCUAACGCGUUAAGUCGACCGCCUGGGGAGUACGGCCGCAAGGUUAAAACUCAAAUGAAUUGACGGGGGCCCGCACAACCGGUGGAGCAUGUGGUUUAAUUCGAUGCAACGCGAAGAACCUUACCUACUCUUGACAUCCACAGAACUUGGCAGAGAUGGAUUGGUGCCUUCUGCAACUCUGAGACAGGUGCUGCAUGGCUGUC
rnacentral:rRNA from 1 species